AUCUUGUUGACGAGUUCCAAAUGGGACGAAACGCGCGUCGUGAAU
rfam:Schistosoma haematobium C9933525_1, whole genome shotgun sequence.